rnacentral:rRNA from 1 species
GGGGAAUAUUGGACAAUGGGCGCAAGCCUGAUCCAGCCAUGCCGCGUGAGUGAUGAAGGCCUUAGGGUUGUAAAGCUCUUUCGCCGGUGAAGAUAAUGACGGUAACCGGAGAAGAAGCCCCGGCUAACUUCGUGCCAGCAGCCGCGGUAAUACGAAGGGGGCUAGCGUUGCUCGGAAUCACUGGGCGUAAAGCGUGCGCAGGCGGUUUUGUAAAGCGAAUAGUGAAACCUGGUGGCUCAACCAUACAGACUAUUAUUCGAACUCACUAACUCGAGAAUGGUAGAGGUAACUGGAAUUUCUAGUGUAGGAGUGAAAUCCGUAGAUAUUAGAAGGAACACCAAUGGCGUAGGCAGGUUACUGGACCAUUUCUGACGCUAAGGCACGAAAGCGUGGGGAGCGAACC